rnacentral:rRNA from 1 species
UACGUAGGGUGCAAGCGUUGUCCGGAAUUAUUGGGCGUAAAGAGCUCGUAGGCGGUUUGUCGCGUCUGCUGUGAAAACUCGGGGCUUAACUCCGGGCCUGCAGUGGGUACGGGCAGACUAGAGUGCGGUAGGGGAGACUGGAAUUCCUGGUGUAGCGGUGAAAUGCGCAGAUAUCAGGAGGAACACCGGUGGCGAAGGCGGGUCUCUGGGCCGUAACUGACGCUGAGGCGCGACAGCGUGGGGAGCAAACAGG